AAUGACAGAUUUUCCCGCCACAUCCCACAAUUCCCUGCGUGCCGCCGCCAUCUUGUACACAGCAAGACGUUCGAAGUUCGCGUGAACUCGAGGUACGGCUGUGCCAAUAAACCUUUUCCUAACGCCCUGACUUCAUAUUACAAGUUUUCGUCAUGGGUACCCGUGUCUACAUUGGUCGCCUUCCAUACUCAGCACGUGAGAAAGACGUGGAAAGGUUCUUCCGUGGGUACGGCCGAAUCCGGGAGAUCAACUUGAAGAAUGGGUUUGGCUUUGUGGAAUUUGAUGAUUAUCGGGAUGCAGAUGAUGCGGUGUAUGAGCUGAAUGGCAAGGAAGUUCUCGGUGAGCGUGUCGUCAUCGAGCACGCGAGAGGUCCCACAAGGCGUGAUUAUGGGUACGGAGGCUAUUACGGCGGUGGACACGGUCGCAGUCGGUCUGGCCGAGACAAGUAUGGUCCACCGAUCCGCACGGAUUAUCGUGUCGUCGUAGAGAACCUUUCCAGUCGCGUCAGCUGGCAGGAUCUGAAGGAUUUCAUGCGCCAGGCAGGGGAGGUCACAUACGGAGAUGCCCACAAGCACAGGAAGAAUGAGGGAGUUGUAGAGUUCCGCACAAGAGAUGAUAUGAAGAAGGCCCUCCACACACUGGAUGGUGCAGAGAUAAAUGGUAGGAAGAUCAAGCUGAGGGAGGAUAGGCGAUACUCGCGUAGCCGGUCCCGCAGUCACUCCAGGCGACGCAGUAGGUCUCGUUCUGGCUCCCGAAGUCGCUCCAGGUCCCGCAGCCGCAGCAAGUCUCUGUCCAGAUCACGCUCCAAAUCCCGCUCACGGUCCAAGUCCAAAUCCCGCUCCAAAUCCACGUCAAGGUCACCUUCUGCAGAUAACAAAGAGAAAGAAGAGCAGCAGGACCAAGAGCAAGAAAAUGACAAGGAGGCAGACCAGGAAGACUGAGUAGAACUCUCCUAAGUGUCAGACAAAGGAGAAGGGCUUGAUGAUUGAUGCUAUAUGAGAACUCCAGAAUUCAUGAAGGUGAUGGAUGGGCGUGUCCCUCCUGACCCCCUGACCCGCCUUCUUUGAGGGACGAUUGACUGAGAUGCUCCCCUUGUCCUUUCCGAGGGACGAAAAAGAGGGAUGUCUCCCAUAGAUGCUAUGAAGGGGACGUUGAGGGCUGUCCUAGAUGACCUAAAGUGUGAGGCGAUCCCUGAUGCUUCAGUGUCAGAUGACCCCCUGUCAUGAAGUGAUGACAACAUCUUUCCAAAAGUUCCCUUAGAUGGACGAUUCAGGAAUGCAGGCCCUCUGGACGCGAACUGUCCAGCAAUAAUUUGUCAGGUGAAAGUAAUUGGGUGUAUUUGACAAGCAGGGCUCAAAAUACUCACCCACUUGACAUAUUGUGAAUUGCCUGAGCACUGAUGCAACACAACUGCUACAGAUAAUAUCUUGAUCUUAAAUUUUUACUCAACAUUAGUGCUGUAGUAUCUGUACGUUAUUGGAUAUGGGUGAGUAUUUUGAGCCAUGUCAAGUAACAACUCAAUGCCAAUAGAUUGCGCACCCUUGACCUGAGACAGACAAGCAUGUAAAACCAGUCCGGUUGUUGCAUUUGAUUGAAAAGGCCACAUAUUGUUUCAUGCCCACUUACUUUGCAUGCUGUCCUCCAUUAGGAAAUAUCCAUGUCCAAAUUGCCUUAAACAUCAUUCAUGGGAAAGUUCAAUCAAACCUCAGAUGCAUUGAUAACCUUCAGCCUGUUAAGGUCCAAGGUUGGACAAGUCCACUAGCCCGAUUGUCCCGGACAAGUGAAAGUGUACAUUGGGCAAGUGAAUGUCCUUCCCCACUUGUCCGAUCGGGCAAGUAAGAUUUUACCAUGAGAUUUUGAUAUACUUAUUGCUUAUGGCAGUUAACGCAUCAAGCAUUGGUCAACACAGAAAAAAUAGAGCCAAUAAUGAAAGAAUUCCAUUGUUGCAUGUCAAAAUACUUAUUGAAAAAUGUUAGUUAAAUUUUGGGGCAAGCAGAAAGCUGGUUCGGGCAAGUAAAUUUUAGAAAACUUGUUAAACAUUGCGGUCGCUAUUUCUGUUGUGCAUAAUGGUUCUGAAGUUAUCAGACAGCGAGGAGAAAGUUGAUACAAGUCAUUGUAUUGGCCUAAAGCUAUGUAGGCAAAAUCGAUUGCAGCUUUAUUUUACAGGCUCCAAAAUAGCCCCUUAAACUUAAAGAAAAAGUUAAUGUCAGUACAAUGCUGUGUCCCAAAGUUCCAAGAUGAAUAGUUGAAUGCUAUAAGCAGUGGCUUCUGGUGUCUCUAUAAUUAUCUAUACAUCUUCAUGGUUCUCAGAGCAUUUCCAUUAUUCUCUAGGUUUCUUCAUGACUCUCUAGGAUUUUCAUUUUCCAGAUGUCGCUAUGAAACUCCAGAUUCUUUCAUAUUUACCUCCAUGAAAAAUGGAAGUACCGUAUUUUCCCCCAAUAAAGUACGCACCCAAUUCAAAUACGCACCCCUAAGUCUCAGACAGGUCUGUGGGACUGAAAGGUAAAAUGGAAAAACGCAAAUAAAGUAGGCACCCCUUCUCCACCAACUUUGAACAGACCUUUAACACUGGAUAAAUACAAAUUUAUCAUGUUUUCCCCAGGUUAUUUUAUGCAAAAACACAGUCAGUUGACACAGUCAUUGUCUCUAUAAGCUUGUGAAUUGCCUACUGUAACUUAUAAAAUCACUGAGAAUGAACUGGUAGAAGAAAUCAGCUAGUACAUCUAUUAAACUGGAAAAAAAAACAGUUGAACAUGUCAAAGUCACAAACUCAAAUUAAAGGAUUGUAUGCAAAUGGCACUCUUAUUUAUGUAAAUCAUGUCACUCAGACAGUCCCCCUUUGGUGAGACAACACCAAUGUGUAUGUUUUGAAAUCUUGCUUUAUUUUACACUUUUUUUACCAUUUAUCCGUGCAAUAACCUCAAAUAUAGUACUGUAUGUACAUCAAGAAAAUACGGUAUUUACAAGUUUUAACAGACAAUCAGGUCCAGCUUCAGGUGACCCCCGUCUUUAAAAACGGCAUGACUGUGUGUGUGUGUGUGUUUGCGUGUUUUCUAAUAUUUAUGGUCAGUAGUUGUGGGUAUCGGUACAGAAAAUCCAGAGUCAGGUCAGAGCAUCACCUGAAGCUUGUGAAUUGGCAAUACUUACAAGAAUGGUCCAUUUUGCUACAAAGUAACCUGUUUGGUGGAGUAUUCGACUCCUACUGGGGUUUUAAAAUCCUAUCUUCAUGUACAACGUUAACUGCCUCUGUUUGCAGUUUACCAGACUGCCUGGCCUUUUUACCUUCACCAAGAAGAGUACGAUUCGGUAGCGUGUGUAUGUAUGUUUGUUGAUAACCAGCCAAACUGUAGAAUGCCUGGAUGGAUUGUACAU